UUUUAAAUCACCUUUCAGGGUUCUUGGAGAGAUAGCCGGGUUAUUUUAAUCAAGGCAGUCUCUAGUUUGCGUAAAGGAACGAUCUGACUAUGCGUGCAGUUCCCAGAAUUACAGCUUUUUGAGCGGUGGAUAAAACAUUUGGCGAUAGUCCCAAAUCUUUAGUAUGUCGCACAGUUUGCUGAUGUAUUAAGCCAUUGACGGAUAUCACUAGAGAAAUUGUGAGUGAUCGUAAACUAAACAGUGUGAAGUGUAAUUGAAACCACCAUUUAUUCCACUAACUGCGAGGUCCUGAAUGAAGCUU